rnacentral:rRNA from 1 species
CACGGAGGAUCCGAGCGUUAUCCGGAUUUAUUGGGUUUAAAGGGUGCGUAGGUGGCCUGUUAAGUCAGGGGUGAAAGACGGUAGCUCAACUAUCGCAGUGCCCUUGAUACUGAUGGGCUUGAAUGAACUAGAGGUAGGCGGAAUGUGACAAGUAGCGGUGAAAUGCAUAGAUAUGUCACAGAACACCAAUUGCGAAGGCAGCUUACUAUGGUUUUAUUGACACUGAGGCACGAAAGCGUGGGGAUCAAACAGG